rnacentral:misc_RNA from 1 species
ACGCAAUCGGGCAUUCUUACCGGAUCUUCCCGGUUUCCGGUUCGAUCUUCUCUUCUCCGUUUAAUAAUCCAAAACCCUAACCCUAUUCACUUUCGGAUCCUCCGAUCGGAUCUAUCUGACAAAAACGUCAACGGAAAAGUUCUUCACUUUCUCAGAUCGGUUGAUUUGGCUCCAUCCAUACCAUGGAAAUUCCAACCGAAACCCCAAUAAAGAAACCAAAGCGAUUGACAUCCGUUGUGUGGAACCAUUUUGAAAGAGUUCGAAAGGCAGAUAUCUGUUAUGCCGUCUGUGUGCAUUGCAAA